rnacentral:lncRNA from 1 species
CAUGCCAUAAUCUUUCUUCUCUGCUUUCAUGAAUUCUACCUUUCCUUUAAAAUUCAUGCAUGUUUUAUCUGCUAUCGGUUAGUUCUCGGUUCAAAACAAUGAAAUUGAACACUGGCUAACUUAAACCCUCUCCUGCCCUCCCCACCAAAACAGGGUGGGCAGUUGAAAUUUUCUAGAUGAAUUCACAGAAUCCACAGGAAGCUGGAAGAUAAGAAUUGAGAUGGCUCAAACCAAGGAAACUGGGAAGAUCAAGAAGCAAGAGACACAGCAAGCAUCUCACCGCAAGAGGAGCCUGAUGCUCAAGAGGUGUCACAUACAAGUUAGAUGUUCAUCCUGUCUUCUCUGAAACGUGAAGAUUGUCUGCUGAUCAUGUCAGCCACCACGAUUUUCAGGACCAGCUUCCCAUUGAUUUCAGUGAGAAGAAAGAAAGACACUUCAUCACAUGUGAUUUAUUUGUAUACAUACAUCCACUAGAUU